AGUCAAACGAGGCGAACCGGGGGAACUGAAACAUCUCAGUACCCCGAGGAAAAGAAAUCAACCGAGAUUCCCCCAGUAGCGGCGAGCGAACGGGGAGCAGCCCAGAGUCAACAUCAAUAUUUACCGCAGGAGAAGGGUCUGGAAAGGCCGGCAAUAAAGGGUGAUAGCCCCGUAUCUGAAACGGUAAGUGUUGUGAACUCGAAGAGUAGGGCGGGACACGUGUUAUCCUGUCUGAAUAUGGGGGGACCAUCCUCCAAGGCUAAAUACUCCUGACUGACCGAUAGUGAACCAGUACCGUGAGGGAAAGGCGAAAAGAACCCCGGCGAGGGGAGUGAAAUAGAACCUGAAACCGUGUACGUACAAGCAGUGGGAGCACCCGAAAGGGUGUGACUGCGUACCUUUUGUAUAAUGGGUCAGCGACUUAUAUUCUGUAGCAAGGUUAACCGGAUAGGGGAGCCGUAGGGAAACCGAGUCUUAACUGGGCGUUAAGUUGCAGGGUAUAGACCCGAAACCCGGUGAUCUAGCCAUGGGCAGGUUGAAGGUUGGGUAAC
rnacentral:rRNA from 1 species